rnacentral:siRNA from 1 species
GACUAAUAAAGUCGUAACGGAUGA